CGCCAAUGGGCGGUGGAGGCCGCGAGCACCGCCCAUUGGUCGAGCCGCCUGUCGCUCCGCUGGGGUGCGGGUAUAAAUAGGGCGGUCUCGCGAGGACUCCCUCAGUUGCGGUGGGGGUCGGGGCUGUGCAGUGCGUCAGUGGGGUUGGGCUGCGAGGCACAUUUCCUGACUCAUUCAGAAGCAUGAAGGCAUUGUUGUUCCUGCAUUUCACACCACUAGUGCUCUGGCUUUCCUUGGCAGAAAGGAGGAAAGAUGCAAAAAAGGCAAAGAGGAGCACCUACCCCAAUGAAACUGUAUUUCUGCUGGGCCUUUCCUGCACUCCCAUACCAACAAUAAAAAUAAAGAGGGGCACAGAUACACCCGGUGUGUACUGGGGAAGGAUUGGCAAUGAUUGCCCAUGAGCUGCUCCUCUGUAUGACCAGCACAGACCUGUGCCUCACCCAGAAGUCAGGCAUGACAGUACCCUGUGGAAACCUCAGGACUCCUUUUCUGUAGGUGAUUACAACUUAACCCCAGGUUACAGAUUUAUGGCAGAUGUGUCCCAGCGUGUUCAAAAGUCAGCCCUCCGGAUGACUCAUCUCGCAAUGAACCUCUCUAUGGGUAAGGAAACCUUUAAACUGUCAAAGGCCACGUUUUGUCCCUGACUGCCAGAGCUGAAGGGAGGAAAGUGCAAGGCCAAGGUGGAGAGCAUCAUGCUGGGCACAGGUGAGGGGCUUGGUGGCAAGCAGUGGCUUUCUUCCUUUGCUCUCCCACGGCACGGGCUGUGUCACAGGCCUUGGCCCUGCCCCUUCCCUGUGCAUUUAGGAGAGGCUGCCAGCUGCGGGAUCAGCCCAGGGCUGGCCUUGCUUCCUGGAGAGCAUGGGACUGGGAUGGUAAGGGGACAACGUCCCGCCUUCUCCUACUCAGAGCAUGUCUGCAGCCUGGCCCGCAGCCUUACCCUUGUGCUCUUCCUGUUCCACCAAAACCUGUUUUUGUUUUUAAAUCGGAGUAAUACUUCUAUCUGCUGCUAAUUACAGCCCAACAAUACUAACUCAGUGUGCAAACAAGGCCAUCAUCCAAGUAUUGUUUUACAUAACCAGAGCGCUGGAGUUGUUAGCAUUUGCAUAAUGUUCAAUUAUUUAGUCAGAACAUAAAAUUUGUCUCCUUCUCAAAAACAUUUUUAUGAAAUGUCUCAAUAAUUAAACACCACUAUGUUUAUUAACAGCAGGGGAAGCUCAUAAAGCGUAUUAGUCACAAAGAGACAAGUAACUACAUCUAGCUACAGUAAUCAAAAUACGCCACUCGAAGGUAGGUCGCCAAGCAUGGCAAGCCCAGCAGAAACUCCUACAGGCAGCUGAGAGGAACACAAAAGCACAGCAGAUCAGGCGCUGUACCUCAGAGAGAUGGGGGAGCCUGAAUUUCACGGCUUAAGUCACUCAUUAAUCAACACGCAGCAUUUUGAAAAGACUCAGUUGAUGCUAUUGGGUCAGCUGACGCAAGCCCUGUGUCUGUGGCAGGUAACAUUUGGGGACACCUGAAGGCCUGUGCUCUGGGGAAGGGCUCUGCGAGCCCCUGCUCCCACAGGCUGCCCGUGGGGCCUGGGCACUGUGGUUACUCCUCGUGAGGAUGAGGCCUGUGGGGCCUGGGUUUUGAGGUGACUCCUCGUGAGGUUCAGAGGCUGGGAGGAAGUUACUGAAUGUGUUUGGGAUGUCCCCGGCUCCAGGCAAGGCUCGGGGGUGUUCUUCAGUGAGUGAAACUCAGACGCUGCAACAGAAGAGAGCUGUGCUGGUUGUCAGGCCACGUACUCUAGUCUGAUGAAAACAGCUCCUGUGCCCAAGCUCCGAGUUGUCCCAAGCUGCUCAAAGGAAAGGCAAAAUCUGGGACCAGAAAUUGUUUCCUUUUAAAGGUGCAAUCACCCACUAAAUUAAGAGGAAGAAUCUUGUAUGUCCUGGGAGCAAGCAUUCUUCUCUAAUAUCGAGUGUUUUCGUAAGUGGAACUUUUUAGCUUACAUUUAUGGGAAGCAUAAAAUUCAAAAGUUAUUUUAUUUAGGCAAGAUGGAGAUUUAUAUCCCUUUUAAAUAUGAGUUUAUUCAGUAGUAUUUCAAUAACGUUACAUAAGAAAUCAAGCUCGUGUCCUUCUGCCUUCUCCAAAACUCAUCUGUUACUUUCUAAUGAGGUCUCCAAAUUACUCAAGACAGCUUCUGAGACAGGCAUACAGUUGAGAGACUCCCUCUUUGUCCAUCAAUCUGUAUAAAAGCAGCCAAGGCAACCACCUCGUCUCCUCCCAUAUCCUUGGCGCGAUGCCUAAGGCUCAGUCUGAGCACCGCUGAGCGCGGUGCCCGCACCGUGCUCAGCAGGAGCUGGCCCGCGGACUCCCAUAGGUAGAGCUGAGGAGCUGUUUGUGCAACGGGGAAAAAAAAACAAAUGGGAAAUCCUUCACAAGUUUAUAUUUUCAGAUAACGACCCUCUGCCUUCUCCACAUGACAGCGUAAGCCCGCAUAAGUGAAUUCUGCUGGGGGUUGCUGCCAUUCCCCUCAGCCCAGGCAAAGCUCUGCUUUCGCUGCUGCUGUAGUGAAGUAGGUCAAAGUAAAAUCUGCCCACCCGCAUCUCCUGCCCGCGAUCACAAGGUAGGAUAAAUCAUAGCCUCGCAUUAAUCGAGGCAUCUAAAGGGAAAAUGCGGCGUGAAAAGGCAAUUCAAAAGCUCGGUGUCUCUCUGGAGGGCAGCUGACAGCGCGAUCCGCCAUCAGAAGUGACUUACGGCCCGCUGCCCCAGGCUGCCGGUGCCCUGCUCGCUGCUGCGGGAAGGAGCUUGGCGGCUGGAUCUGAUGUUAAAGAAAGGCAGCCAGGCCUCAGCAGCAGGCUGCGUGCUGCUGGGGGGCAAGUGGAAAAUCACAAGAGCAAGCAGCAAAGAGCAGCCCCGUCAGGUCGGACAUGCUGCGUCCUCUGGUUUGGCACUGCUGCCCACGCAGCGGUAGAGGGCUGCACCGCAGCUCCUCUUGCUCAGGAGUCCUUUUGUUGUGGUUCGGUGUAAGGACAUGACCACACAAAAGGCUUCAUUAGGCAAAAAGCAAUCGCUUUUGCAUCACUCGCCUCCGGUAGAUGCAAAGGAGUUAAAAGAAGGCAAGCCUUGCUUAAAGGAGUGGCCAUGCUGGGAGGACGUGUGUUUUGUCUGGACAGGCUCAGGGCCUUAUUCCCCUGCUUUGUCGGCAGGCAGCGUGCCCGCCAAAAUCAUCUCCUGUGCUGAGCGUGGAGAGGACGAGCCAGCAGCUUAUUAAGGCUUCUCUGUUAUUUCUUUAGUGAGGGUGGCUUAAUUUUCCUGAACUGCUGCUAAAUGAAUUCUCCUCUUGUCAUAACUUUGGGGUGUUUGCCUCUGAUCUUUCUAGACUGUUCUCAUUGGACCCUGGGUGUAGGCAAUGGUUUGGAGGGGUUACGGAUAGUCACAUUAAAUUUAGAGGGGUAAAAAAAAAAAAAAAAAAAAAAAAAAAAGUGAAGAUGGGAUUUUGGGGGGAAACACUAUUACCAGAGCAUGACUUGAGAGAAUCUUGGCUCUCCAGUUCAAACUCCCAGUUGAACUGCUCAGGUUGGAAGGGCCCUUUAAGGACCAUCUGGUAAAUCACCAGUUCAUAACCCAGUGCUGAAGUCUUUGUGGCACCUUGAGCCGUCACUUGAGCGAAGAGCCCCGUGCGUUGGAUCUGAGAGACAUGUACACCCCGCUGCCUCUCCUCAGGGCGGUCUGGUACCGGCUGCUGGUUCGGGAGGUGGCACCGGCAGCUCUGCCUCAGGAGGGCCUUGCCAGUCUCCUCCUCUCCAUCCCUGGUGGAACCAUGCUCUUCCACAGCCUGGCCACAGAGGAGCACGGGUGGCCUGGUGGCUUUGUCAUCCAGGAGCUGCCGGCAUGGGUGAGGAGGGAGAGCGUGGCAGCCAUGUGCUGUUGGCCAUCGCGGGAACCAUUGCUGCAGCACGUCGUUUUCCAGUCAGCAGUGAACAGACACUUCCCUCUCUUCUCUCUUUUUCCCCAGUGCUUUUCCUUUUAUUAGCCUGUUUCUCAGGCAGGGUUUACUUACAAAGGCAGGUUAGGAAAUUACACUUCAAUUCUAGACUUCAGAAAUCAUGGGGGAAAAAUGGGGACUCCUUGCUACAGGGAAUUAGGAGGCCCCCAGGUACCACUGUACCUGGCUCCGUGUCCUUGAAGACAGCAGAAUAGGCUUCAGUGGGACUGUGAGCCUGCUCCGCGUACCAUUUCAUAUGCAAAUCAGUUAAUAAACAAAGCCUUGCAAGCUAACAAAAAGAAAUCAACAACAGACUGCAAAGGUACAUGAGGUGGAAGGAAGCAAAAUGGUUCUCCAUCGCUUCGCUUCAGAAACUUUUGUGCAGUCUGAGCUGUGUUCGGAGCAGCUCCUGAGAGAGAUCUGGGAUCCUGGAGAGGGAGGGAGGGAGGUCAGCAUUUCCUGAACGACCUCCAUUUAAGCUGCAUUAGGUGAGCUAGAAGGGUUUCUUCUGGGAACAGAGCCAACGGAGAGAAGAGAAUUAGGACCUGGGGGUGAAGCAAAGGCACCCACAAGAAGGAAGAUCUGAAUGGACCUUGGGAAAACGCGUUACACCAGCAUAAAGCUUUGAAGAGUACCACGAGGCAGAGAACUACUUGGGAGUAAUAAUCCAUAAAAACCUCCUAUUGGUAUUUGAGACCAGACAGCAGAGGAUCGCGUGCUCUUCAAGCUCAACACCUCCCAUUGAUUACUGGGUGGCUUGGUGAACCUCGGGAAGAAGCGAGCUAAGGUAAAAUUCACCACAGGGCAGGGGGACAGCCCCAGAGCUGUGCCUGCUCCCAGCGGAGAUGCCUUCUCCUGCAAAAGUCAGUCCUGCGUGGUGAGGCCGUGCCGGGUCACCCAGGUUAUGCCUUGCCCUGGGGCUUAAUGAGUUGUGCAGCGCGGCCCCGUGCUCGCGAAUCCCUCUUUUUUCCUUUGACUCUGUAACAGUACAAAAGUGAUCUGCUAGCGGCAAACACGGAGUCCUGUAAUUAAACCUUUGUUGCCCACAGCUGAGUGCUCAUCACGUAUACAAAGCAAACAUUUUGGCAUGUCUAUUGCACUCCUCUAAACUAAAAGGGGAUUAAUGGCGUUGCAAAAUAACAGCGAGCUGCUUGCUACGCUGCUGCUGGAUAUUUUCACUGACAACAAGAUUUUAUAUUCCUCUUCAUCUUUAAAAAAAUGCAAUACAUUUAGUAAACGCUUUUACUGUCAAAAGCAACACAGCACAUAACACCAUAUCAAAGUAAAGGCUGGAGGGCUAUUUUGGCCUUAAACAUUUAUUAUGCUUUGCUGUACAUUAAAAAUCAUUUAGUCAUAUAUUUUUUUACUUAAAAUUAUUAAACAUGAGGAGGUAGCUAAUUAUGAUAAUCGCACUCGUAAACUAAGUCACCGAAUGUACAGGUUUUGCACUGAAACAUGCACGGCAUGCAACUGCAUUUGCAUUGCACGUGGCGCUUCACCACUGGGGACAACAACUGAUUGCCAAAUGUCACCUUACUCCUCAAACAGAAGACCAAAGACUUAUCACAAAUCAGUUCUGGGAGAGGAAACCAUUCUGUUUUUCAAGUGCGUUUUGUUGUUGUUCUUAGACUGUAAUUCAAACUGCGCUCGUUUAUGUGCAUGAGUCAUGAACAAAGGGUGAAUUUUUAGAUUUGAUGCCAGUGUUAGAUGUUCUAUACCAACAAUAUAUAUUGCAGCUGCCUGAGCAAAAUGGAUCAGCUUGAGUCAGUCGUAUUGCUUCUCAGCUGGAAACGUGCAAUGACGUCCUUAGGAAAGCUGAUCAGAUCUGAAAGGCUUUUUCCGGUGGUAUGAAGUGUGAACUAUAAAUCACCGUUCAUACAGAGAAGAAAAAUGUAUUUGUAUUUGCAGCUUUCCAUUGCCACAGAUGAGGCAUUUGUCCAAAGCGAAAUACACGGGUUCAGAAACUGUUUUCUGCCUACCUGUUGACCACGCAGCUGUGUCAGGACUUACUCACACGUCCCUUUGACUUAGAAUGAAGAAACGAGGGCGCAGAGCGAUGCUGUGAGAAGAUGAAAUUUCCCCUGGUUGGCCAGGUCAAAGCUCUGGAGGGCCAAGGGUCUGCUCUUUCACAAAGGCCAGUGCCGAUGGCUGCGGUAGGAGACCGUGCAGAAACCAAGUCCACCAGCCAGCGCCUCCCAGCGCCUUCGGCAACCUCCCAGGCCAAGGCCGCAUUGUUCGUGUUGAGUGGCACUUGACAGGUUUUGACUCCACAGAUUUGUUAGCUGCUUUCUGAAGUCACCCCUGGUGUCUGCAGCCUCCCACUCAGAUCCAGAACACCCCAAGAGGUGUCUGAGACCUGUCUGAGAUGGGGGGCACCUGGGUGUUGCUUUCCUUGAGAUCGCACAGGCCAUGCCAGCAGACCUCCACCUUUCUGCUCUGUUAUUCCUGAGACUGUUCCAACAGGAGACGGUCCGAGGGGUGUCCAGGCUUCCCCACACAGCUGCUGCACAGCUCACACUCCAGAAAUAGUCACAAUUCAUCAGGUUGCGUAAUUUUAACCAGCAAGAGGACUGCAAGGAGAUGGACCGUACCUUUACAUCUCCUGAAAACACGGUAUUCAUUGCAUGGGAUGUGGGUUGGGACUUGGCAAUAACUGGAGAGCACAAAUUGGGUCCUUUUUUUAUAUAUUAUAGUCCUUUAAUACAGAAACCGUUUGCUCAAGAUUGCUACAGAUAGUAACAAUGUAUCUUAAAAUAACACUUUAUGCUAAUGAAUUAUUUAUUACAGAGGGAGAGGGAGUUAAAAUGCUGCUUAUGGUAUCUGAAAAAAUGUGCCUAUUUCUACUGUAGAUCCUAGAGGAUGACCUGGAUACAAAAACAAAGCAAAAAAAAAAACCUUGAGAUUAAGGACUGUGCACCCAUUUUCAUGGUGGGGGCAACACAAAAAGCGUUUGCACAACCAGCCCUUGGACAGCAUAGCCCAAGGCUGCUGUCGUGUAAGCAAGUCACUAUUUCUGUUGAGGCUGUGUUAACAGAGAGCUGUCUCGCCACUUCCAAUUUCAGCGGGAAUGCCCGCACUGCCCUUUGUGGCCUGUGUAAAAGAGAAAGCCCUGGACCAGUCGGCAGGAACCAACUCAGAGCCAGUACCACUGACGGCUGGCUGGUGAGCUGGGUGCAUCUGUGCAAAAAGCUGCCUUAGGCAUUCAGCAACCACGCGGGCUUACUGACUUUAUCCAAAGGCUUUGAUAAAUAACACAAAACUUGGUUUUCAUCCUCCUGUUUUCUGUGAUGAAAGAUAUCUGUCCAAAAACUGCUGUCAGUGUCUCGGAUAUUCACAUGUUCCAAUGCCCUGUUUAUUUGUUAUGAAAUGAAAUAAUUGUUGCUAAGCGAGGCUGGGUUUUACUCCCCACCUCCUCAGAGAAAACAAAGCUUCAAAACUGCAGAUGUGGUUCUUGGGAAAUCAUAGGUUUCCUAAGGUCUCCCUGCAUAAUUUUCUGAAAAGAAUGCAAAUGCAACAACAACAACAAAUCCAAAAUCACAAACACAUCCAUAAAUAAACCUAGGGAGUGCAGUGUUAAGGCAACACUUCAUGCGUACACCCAUACACAAAGAGAAAUGUUUGCCUUAGCAGUGGUGCAUUCAGUUCCCAAUGUUGUGGAAUGGGUUUUGCUGUUAGCUUCUUUAAUUGCAAUUACAUAGCUCAUGGGGAAGUGUUACAACAUAUUCAGAGUGAUUUUGGUCAAUCAGCAGCAAGUAUUUCUCUCGUCAAACUUGUUAAGCAGAUGAAGGUGAAUUGUGUACAAGACUUCAUGAGCUGGAGUCCCAAACUGGUGCUGGAAACUCAAGCUGAACAGUGUGAGAAUAUUAUAUAAAUGUAGUAAAGUGAAGAGAUGCUAUUAUUAUUUUUUAAUGAGAAUAAUUAUGAGUCGGUAGGGGGUGACAUUUGAAGCUGACACUGCAACGGAGUUCACAGUUUUUUCCAACAUUUCAGUUUGGGCUGUAGCUCAAGGCUUUCCAGUUCUUUUAACUAAACAUUCAAAUUGCCCAUUGCCACUAAUGCUAUGCUCCUAAUUGAGAAUGAUGAUUUCACAUAAAG